rnacentral:RNase_P_RNA from 1 species
CAAGUAUGAAAGACGGUUGCGAGUCUAUAAGACUCGAGGAAAGUCCGAGCUCCAUAGGGCAGGAUGCCAGAUAACGUCUGGCGAGGGUAACCUUAGGGAAAGUGCCAUAGAAAAGGAAACCGCCACGUAAGUGGUAAGGGUGGAAAGGUGAGGUAAGAGCUCACCAGCAGUCUGGUAACAGG